AUUGAACGCUGGCGGCAGGCCUAACACAUGCAAGUCGAGCGGUAGCACAGAGAGCUUGCUCUCGUGUGACGAGCGGCGGACGGGUGAGUAAUGUCUGGGAAACUGCCUGAUGGAGGGGGAUAACUACUGGAAACGGUAGCUAAUACCGCAUAACGUCGCAAGACCAAAGAGGGGGACCUUCGGGCCUCUUGCCAUCAGAUGUGCCCAGAUGGGAUUAGCUAGUAGGUGGGGUAACGGCUCACCUAGGCGACGAUCCCUAGCUGGUCUGAGAGGAUGACCAGCCACACUGGAACUGAGACACGGUCCAGACUCCUACGGGAGGCAGCAGUGGGGAAUAUUGCACAAUGGGCGCAAGCCUGAUGCAGCCAUGCCGCGUGUAUGAAGAAGGCCUUCGGGUUGUAAAGUACUUUCAGCGGGGAGGAAGGUGCUGAGGUUAAUAACCUCAGCAAUUGACGUUACCCGCAGAAGAAGCACCGGCUAACUCCGUGCCAGCCGCCGCAGUAA
rnacentral:rRNA from 1 species